UACAGAGGUCCCAAGCGUUGUUCGGAUUCACUGGGCGUAAAGGGUGCGUAGGCGGCCGGGUAAGUCUGUUGUGAAAUCUCCAAGCUUAACUUGGAAACUGCAGUGGAUACUAUCCGGCUAGAGGAAUGGAGGGGAGACUGGAAUACUUGGUGUAGCAGUGAAAUGCGUAGAUAUCAAGUGGAACACCAGUGGCGAAGGCGAGUCUCUGGGCUGACACUGACGCUCAUGCACGAAAGCGUGGGGAGCAAACAGG
rnacentral:rRNA from 1 species